rnacentral:lncRNA from 1 species
CCCACCCCCACGGGAACCCCUUUCCCAUCCCAUCGGAACCCCUCGUUCCUGCCCCGUAGGAACGGCUUCUCCCACCCCAUGCAAGCCCCUUUUCUUCCCACCCCAUAGGAACGAAACCCUUUUCCCCACCCCAUUGGAACCCCAUUUCUCACCCCACACAAACCCCUUUCCCUGUCCCAUAGGAACCCCGUUUCCUACCCCAUACAAACCCCUUUCCCCAUCCCAUACAAACCCCUUUCCCCACCCCACACAAACCCCCUUCCCCACGCCACGGGAACGACCCCCGUUUGUUUCCCAUUUCCCACACCACUGAAGCCCCUUUCCCUGUCACACCAAACCCAUUUUCCCCACCCCCCCCAUUUCCCUGGCUUUACUCAGCUGGGGCGCACCCAGCCGAGGCACCGAAGCACCCCGGGCUGGCAGCGCGGGGUCGGGGGCGUUAUUUCAGCCCACUCCCCACCCCCCCCCCAGGCUCAGGAGCCUGCACCGUGCGGCCACCACGGUGGCCAACGAGCCCAUCCUCGAAUUCAAACCUGGCAGCCCCGAGCGAGCGGCGCUGCAGCAGGCGCUGGCCGACCUGAAGGGCAGGACCGAAGCCAUCCCCUGCGUGGUCGGUGGGGAGGAGGUGUGGACCGGAGUGGUGCGGUACCAGCUCUCGCCGUUCAAUCAUGCGCACAAGGUGGCCAAGUUCUGCUACGCCGACAAGGAUCUCAUUAACAAAGCCAUUAAUGCUGCCUUGGCCGCCAGAAAGGAGUGGGACCUGAAACCUGUCCAGGACCGGGCCCAGA